rfam:Camelus ferus unplaced genomic scaffold scaffold261, whole genome shotgun sequence.
GAGGGUAUAUCUCAGGGGUAGAGUACAUGCUUUGCAUGCAUGAGGUCCUGGGUUUAAUCCCCAGUACCUCCG